CAAGUCGAACGAGAACCAGUUUUGUAGCAAUACCGAGCUGGGGAAAGUGGCGAAAGGGGCAGUAAUGCAUGGGCAACCAACCCUGGGGACCGGGAUAGCCAUCCCAACGGAUGGGUAAUACCGGGCGAUGUAGCGAGGCCGCAUGUUCUUGCUACCAAAUGAGUUUCGCCCUGGGACGGGCUCAUGUGAUAUUAGCUUGUUGGCGGGGUAAUGGCCCACCAAGGCAAAGAUGUCUAGCAGGUGUGAGAGCACGACCUGCGCCACUGGCACUGAGACACUGGCCAGACUCUUACGGGAGGCUGCAGUCGAGGAUCUUCGGCAAUGGGCGCAAGCCUGACCGAGCGACGCCGCGUGUGCGAUGAAGGCCUUCGGGUUGUAAAACACUGUCGAGGGGGAGGAAAGCCGAAAGGUCUGACCUAUCCCUGGAGGAAGCACGGGCUAAGUUCGUGCCAGCAGCCGCGGUAAGACGAACCGUGCGAACGUUGUUCGGAAUCACUGGGCUUAAAGGGCGCGUAGGUGGAUAUCCAAGUCAGGGGUGAAAUCUUUCAGCUUAACUGGAAAACGGCCUUUGAUACUGGAUGUCUGGAGUGAGGUAGGGGCAUGCGGAACUUCCGGUGGAGCGGUGAAAUGCGUAGAUAUCGGAAGGAACACCGGUGGCGAAGGCGGCGUGCUGGACCUCAACUGACGCUGAGGCGCGAAAGCCAGGGGAGCAAACGGGAUUAGAUACCCCGGUAGUCCUGGCCCUAAACGAUGGGUACUAGACUGUAGACUGAACAUGGGUUUACAGUCGAAGCAAAAGUGUUAAGUACCCCGCCUGGGGAGUAUGGUCGCAAGGCUGAAACUCAAAGGAAUUGAC
rnacentral:rRNA from 1 species